rnacentral:rRNA from 1 species
AUUGAACGCUGGCGGCAGGCUUAACACAUGCAAGUCGAACGAGUGGCGGACGGGUGAGUAAUGUCUGGGAAACUGCCUGAUGGAGGGGGCUAACUACUGGAAACGGUAGCUAAUAACGCAUACCAUCAGAUGUGCCCAGGUGGGAUUAGCUAGUAGGUGGGGUAAUGGCGCACCUAGGCGACGAUCACUAGCUGGUCUGAGAGGAUGACCAGCCACACUGGAACUGAGACACGGUCCAGACUCCUACGGGAGGCAGCAGUGGGGAAUAUUGCACAAGGGGCGCAAGCCUGAUGCAGCCAUGCCGCGUGUAUGAAGAAGGCCUUCGGGUUGUAAAGUACUUUCAGCGGGUAGGCGUUACUCGCAGAAGAAGCACCGGCUAACUCCGUGCCAGCAGCCGCGGUAAUUC